GAGUGGACGAACUGGACGCAGCGGCAGCUGCACGCAACUAUCCGGCCGGUCGCGCGCGGUGUGGUGAUACGUGCUGUCUGAUUAACAAAAUGGGUAAAGUGGAGAUACAACGCGUGAUACAUGCAAUACCCUGCCGCACGUCGGCAUCGUGGGGUCGGACCGUGGUACUCAUCCGUCAGAGAAAAGUGUGCUAGCUGCGCGGGACGUAUCAUGUGGGGGCGUUGGUUUCCUGUUCCGCGAGGCCGGCGACCCGGACUACUGGACUGGUGGCGACAAGGAUUAGGUGCAUGUGCUUAUUCUCGCGCUAGUCCAUUUCCUGUUUUUUGCCGGGCGACGAACAAGGUGAUCCGUGACAGCAGCCGGUGUGCUUCCUCCUCCCCGCGGAUCUGCUCAUGCCGUUCCCCGGAGCGUCUACCCCGGCGGCGUUGGCCUCUGGAUCUAUCUUGGCUGCUAUGGGUGCAGGUGCGCAGGAGGCGCCGUGCGUUCUGGGCGGCGGCGGCGAUGCUGUGCCCGAUUCGGGCAUUGGCUCGUCGGAUCCCGCCGUCGGCCCAGUCUUGCCGGACGUGCCUGAGUUCUCCGGGGCAUCCUGCAAGACCUUCAACUCUGGAGGCGGGGAUGUGUCGUCGGGAUUGGCGACUCCAGCCGGCGUCUCGCACAACUCCGUCCAGGCCAGCGGCUGCAGUGGCCCGGCGGGUUUGUGCACGACAUUCAAUUCAGGGGGCGUGGUCCAGCCGACGGGAUUGGCGACUCCAGCUGUCGUCUCGCACAGCUCCGUCCUGUCCAGCGGGAGCAGUGGCGCUGGGGAAUCGUGCACGACAUUCACUUCUCAAGGAGUGGUCCUGCCGUCGGCACGGGUCGGCGACGGAACGCCGUCCGUCGUCUCGAGCUGCGCCGUGCAGUCAGCACGUCACAGCGGCCCCGCUUCAGCGAACACCACCAUCGGCGUAGGCUGGAAGCGCAGGCCAAGAGGUCCUAGCGCGCCAGACGAGAGGGCUGUAGUAGCUGAUCGUGUGCCGCCACUGGAAACUGCUAUUAGAGGGUUCGCUGAUAGGGGGACUGAGGUGGUCGUGAACCCGGUGCUUGGCGCUAUUUUUGAUUCGCUGGCAGAGGCGUAUGAAUUCUACAAUCUAUAUUCAUGGGAGGUCGGCUUUGGGAUUCAUUACGGCAAGCGCAGGAAAAUGUCAAUGGGACGAAGUGUAUGCAAGAGAUUGUGUGCGGCUGCGCUGGCAAACCAGAAAAGGAGAAGAGCUCGUCAACGAGGAGCAAUUGCGCCGCCAUGCUUAGGUUGCACCGAACAGAUGAUGGUGGGUGGUAUGUAUCUGAAAAUCGCGCCUCCCACAACCAUGAAAUGCUACGGACUUGUGCUGAGAAGCUGCAUUGGGCAUCACACCAGCACAUUGACACAUACACAAGAGAUCUCAUGAAACAGUUGCGCUAGAACAAUGUAAAUCUGGGGAAGGUAUACACCAUCAUUGGGAGCCUGUUUGGGUGGAUGGAGAACGUCCCGUUCACAAAGAGGUGCCUUAGGACUUUCUGUGGGAAGCUUAGCAAGGAGCAGGCGGAUGAUGAUGUGCGGAGGACCAUGGAUGCAUUCUCUGAGCUGGGGUCAAAUGAUCCAGAGUUUUCAUAUGUUGUUGAGAAUGAUAAGGAAAGCAAGAUAAAAACCCUCUUGUGGACCAAUGGUAGAAGUAAGAUGCAGUACCAAAAUUUCGGGGAUGUCAUAACGUUCGAUACUACAUACAAGACAAAUCUAUACGACAUGCCUUUUGGGUUGUUCGUGGGGGUGAACAAUCACUUCCAGAGUAUCAUCAUGGGCGGGGUAAUGAUGAGAGAGGAAACGAUCGAGAGAUUCAAAUGGGUAUUCACCGAAUUCAUCAGGCUGAUGGGUGGCAAACCUCCGAAAACGAUACUAACAGAUCAAGGGCGCGCAAUGGAGGUGGCUAUACAACAAACGAUGCCUGAUACUACACAUCGCUGGUGCAAGUGGCAUGUGCUAAGGAAGGCGAAGGAGCACCUUUGGCCGCAUUACACGAAAAGCAGUGAUUUCAGGGCUGCGCUGCACAAGGUUGUCAAUGAGAUGCUCACUGUGGACGAGUUUGAAGCAGCUUGGGCUGAGCUGCUAGACAAAUACAAGCUCCACAACAACACGUUCCUGAUCCAGAAUUUCGAGGUUCGCCACAAGUGGGCGAAGCCUUAUUUUAGUGGGAAAUUAUGUGCGAAGCAAACCAGUACGCAAAGAAGCGAGAGUGCAAACCAUUUGUUGAAGGGCUACAUCCCGCCUACAUGCCCCAUGAACCUUUUUGUGAAGCAAUACAGCAAACUGUAGUUUGACCGAGAAGCCGAAGAAGGUUUCCAAGAGAAAAGAACAA